GAUGAACGCUGGCGGCGUGCUUAACACAUGCAAGUCGAACGGAAAGGCCCAAGUUUGCUUGGGUACUCGAGUGGCGAACGGGUGAGUAACACGUGGGUGAUCUGCCCUGCACUUCGGGAUAAGCCUGGGAAACUGGGUCUAAUACCGGAUAGGACGAUGGUUUGGAUGCCAGUGUGGAAAGUUUUUUCGGUGUGGGAUGAGCUCGCGGCCUAUCAGCUUGUUGGUGGGGUAAUGGCCUACCAAGGCGUCGACGGGUAGCCGGCCUGAGAGGGUGUACGGCCACAUUGGGACUGAGGUACGGCCCAGACUCCUACGGGGGGCAGGAGUGGGGAAUAUUGCACAAUGGGGGCAAGCCUGAUGCAGCGACGCCGCGUGGGGGAUGACGGCCUUCGGGUUGUAAACUCCUUUCGCUAGGGACGAAGCGUUUUUGUGACGGUACCUGGAGAAGAAGCACCGGCUAACUACGUG
rnacentral:rRNA from 1 species